rnacentral:lncRNA from 1 species
UCCACAAGAAAUUGAACCUAAUGCUCUGAUACCAAAUUGACACGACCCGCCUCGGAUUCCCCCUUGGAACCCACGACGAACCUUAUUUUCCAUCCUACAUUUGGCCGAUGUUGGACCCACCUUACUAAAGUGCUCUUCUUUCUUAAUUUAAAGUUGUAAGGACUUCGACUUCUACCGAAAUGUCGAUAGAGUCUACCCUGUAAGUGGAACAUUUCUCAAUUUACAAUACCUGCAAACAAGCACCAAAACAACCCAACUUCCAGCAUGCACAAGCUUAAGGCAUGCACAACAGUUAAGACUAUUCAAAUGGGCUUCACACCCGCUACCCAAACUCAAAACGAGCAAGCAGAGCAACUAAAUAUUUAGUUUACAACCCGGGGAAAAGGAAAGUAGAGAGAAGAUAAAUGAGGAAUUCCUACAGUGGAGACAGCGGCCAUGCCUUGACGUGGUGGUUUCAACCUCAAAGAUCUAGAACCUGGGGUCGCAAAAUAGAAAAUGUGAGUGGACAAAAACAAAGCGUUCAACAUAAUUUAUAUUCAACAUAAAUAACCCCCUCCGUUUUAGAAAAUUGACGAAACCCGCCCCGGAUUCCCUCUUUGGAAUCUGUGACAAACCAUGUUCCUGUCUAGCAUUUAACCAAUGCCAAGCCCACUUACUAGCAUAACCCUUUCGCCCUCGAUUUAAACAAAAAUUGGGUCGAGACUUCAAUCGAAAUUUCAGCAAAAUCUCCCCUAAAAAAUGGACAUUCCGAAAUUAUAAAUACCUGCAAACAAGUGAUAAAUAAUCCCAAAUGGCAACACACACAAUGCUAAAGCACACAAUUUACAACAUAGGCCUCCGGCCUCAAAUUCAACCCUACAUGGGUAAUAUCAGGGGUUUCUACAAAACUUUACUUUGCAGAAGUAUUAGGAGUUCAAAAAAUAAAACAAAAAAAAUAUCCUACAAGUAGUGGAGUGUGCUAUACAAAAUAUUUGACGUGGACCAGUGAAUCUUGUCGAGUUAUAGCCUGGGGGGCGCAAAACAAGAAAUUGUGAGUGGACAAAAAUUAAAUUUAUAACAUAAAUUAUAUCUAAACAUACUAACCCCGCCAUUUUAGAAAAACGAUGUAAACCAUGAAAUAAAAUCCAUCUUUAUCCAUAUACCAUUAGAUACUUGAAACCUUUAUAUUCCCGACACACACACACACACACACACACACACAUAUACCACAUCAAGAUACGUACCAAGGAAAACAAUCCAACACGAGGAUUGUUUAUUCUCAACCACAUGUCGGGAUCCUGCAUCAUACAAGUGGCUAGAGAUGAGCAGUCCAAUCGGGGGACUAUUGCUCCCCAGCAUGCAUGCCGGGAUCUGCAUUGCACGUGCGGCUGAUCUAGUCAUACGCGUAGACUAACAUCCUGACACACCUCCCAAAAAGUAUAUGUGUGCCAUGAUGGGUCCCAAAGACCAACUCUAAUUCUUUUCCAUAAUUUCAUCAUCCUUUUCAUAACGAACUAGGGGAUGGUACAACACAUGGUGUGUAGUCACACAAAUCCCAUAUCCCAAACCACAUAUUUAUAAACAUAAUAAUAAUACUACCCAAAGUACAACAUAAAAUCAUUAAAACUUCACAACAUCCCAAUUCUAGUAAAACACAUUUCAACCCAACUGAAGGUGGCUGGACGGUGACAAACUCGCCAUCUAAAACUCCGGCGUCGAGUGGAGGGG